UACGUAGGGUGCAAGCGUUGUCCGGAAUUAUUGGGCGUAAAGGGCUCGUAGGCGGUCCAUCGCGUCGGGAGUGAAAAGCUGGGGCUUAACCCCAGUCCUGCUUCCGAUACGGGUGGACUAGAGGUAGGCAGGGGAGAACGGAAUUCCUGGUGUAGCGGUAAAAUGCGCAGAUAUCAGGAGGAACACCGGUGGCGAAGGCGCACAUCUGGCCCGAUACUGACGCUGAGGCGCGAAAGCUAGGGGAGCAAACGGG
rnacentral:rRNA from 1 species